CCUACGGGAGGCUGCAGUGGGGAAUAUUGGACAAUGGGGGGAACCCUGAUCCAGCGACGCCGCGUGAGUGAAGAAGUAUUUCGGUAUGUAAAGCUCUAUCAGCAGGGAAGAAAGAAAUGACGGUACCUGACUAAGAAGCCCCGGCUAACUACGUGCCAGCAGCCGCGGUAAUACGUAGGGGGCAAGCGUUAUCCGGAUUUACUGGGUGUAAAGGGAGCGUAGACGGCGAUGCAAGUCUGAAGUGAAAGGCGGGGGCCUAACCCCUGGACUGCUUUGGAAACUGUAUGGCUGGAGUGCAGGAGAGGUAAGUGGAAUUCCUAGUGUAGCGGUGAAAUGCGUAGAUAUUAGGAGGAACACCAGUGGCGAAGGCGGCUUACUGGACUGUAACUGACGUUGAGGCUCGAAAGCGUGGGGAGCAAACAGGAUUAGAUACCCCGGUAGUC
rnacentral:rRNA from 1 species